rnacentral:lncRNA from 1 species
GCAGCAGGAACUCCCCAUUGGAUUAUUUUGAAGCAGGUCCCAGAAAUCAUGUAACUUCAUCCAUAAAUACUUUAGUAUGGCUCUCUAAAAGAUAAGGACUCUUUUUGAGAAGAUAUAAGAUUGGGAGUUCCCGUUGUGGUGCAGUGGAAAAUGAAUCUGACUAGUAUCCUUGAGGAUUUGGGUUCGAUCCCUGGCCUCACUCAGUGGGUCAGGGAUCUGGAGGCUGUGGUGUAGUUCGCAGAUGUGGCUCAGAUCCCGAGUUGCUGUGGCUGUGACAAAGGCCAGCAGCUGUAGCUCUGGUUUGACCCAUAACCUUGGAACUUCCAUAUGCUGUGAAUAUGGCCCUAAAAAUCAAAAAAAGAGGAAAAAAAAGAUAUAAGAUUGAACCAUGUGAAAACUGUCAUUUUUGUAGGUUGAAAUGAGGUAAUAUUAGCAAGGUUUAAACCUAACCACAAAACCAUUAGCACACCUCAAAAUUAAUGAAAACUAAUAUAACCAAAAUCCAGUUAUUGUUUAGAUUUCACCAGUGGCCUCAUGAUGUUUUCCUGUUGCAACUACUCAACUUUGCUGCUUUUAGCAUGAAAGCAACUAUAGGAAAAGGUACAUAAAUGAGUGGGUGUGGCCAUAUGCCAGUGCUUACACCUGUCAGGUGAUACUGGAUUCAGCCGAGUUUAACAGCCAUUGUCUUUAAUCCUGAAGGCAGGGUGGAAGGGAGAAAAAAACCAGAGUUUGCAAUUAAGUGCUAGUACUAGCCCUCCAGCAUACCUCUAACAAGCUCAGUGCAUAUUGAGACCUCAGAAAAUGAAUGAAUAAGUAAAUUGGAUCAAGUGCAUUUUUCACCUGAAAGGCAGUUUUUAAAGGUUAGUCAGGUGUCUUCGAUAACACUAGGUUGUUAAGGUGUUAGAUAGCUUAUUAUUCAGAUCAUACUGUUGGAUUAAGUGGGACUUGGGAAGAAAACCAUGUCCUGGCAUCACCCAGAAUAAGGUUGGGGUUCCUGUUCUCUCAGGAGCUCUUCCUGCCUUGGGUCCCCAGGGAUAUUGGGUUCCUUCUGUCCCUUUAUCACAGAUCACUGUGGAUUCAGGGCCAUGAAGCAGCUCCUGUGUCCCGAGAUGCUUUGCCUAGCUGGCCCCCCGUGCUUCUUCCAUGGGUGCGGAGCUGCUGCUGGGAGGUGAGAGGAGUCAUCAGCCAUCUCCCUGUGGCUCCCUUAGCUCUGCCCACCUUUCCUUAAUGCCCAGUUCCUACCAUGGGAUGUGAGGCUGGAGUCGGAGUGUUUACACAGUCGAAGCACGUCUGGUUGGUUGCUGGUGGGUCUGGACAGCUGACCAAUGGGUUGCUGUUAGGAUGUUUACUUUUCUGAAUUAGGUGUUCCUGUGUAGAGACAGGGGCUUCGAGCUAUUGUGCAAGGCUUCAGAAGACAUCCAGUGAACUCAGAGACAAGGCAUCAUUUAAACAGAAGCUGCCAAAAAUGCCAACAAAGGGGCCAGGGAGAGUGUGCCCAUGCCCCCCCCCCCCUUUUUUUCUCUUUUGCAUAUGAAUUCAACAUUCAAACAAUGACUAUUCUUGGAAUCCCCAAAUCCCAUAGCCAUGAGCAACAUAUUAAUCGGAAAUGUAAUAAGAUCUUAUAUGAGAAGGUGAUUUAAACACAUGUGCAGACACUCACACACACACCCCAGAGAUUAUAUCUUCAAAUGAGCAUUGACACUUCCUAGCACAUACAACCUGGUUGCAGUUGCUCAAAACAGUGCUGGAACCCCAUCAUCAUAGCCUCAGGCAUUUUUAACAUAAUAUUUUAACUUAUAUAAACGUUUAAAACUUUAAAACUAUAAAAAAUGAACACACAUAUUUCAAACAUAUACAUAAAUUGGGAAAGUAAUAUAAUGAACACCUACCAUGGUUAUCAGCACACAGGAAAUUGGAUCUCAUCUCUGCUGUUAUCCCCUGUCACCCAUUGGAUUAUUUUGAAGCAAGUUCCAGAAGUCAUACAACUUCAUUCAUAAAUACUUUUAGUAUGGCUCUCUAAAAGAUAAGGACUCUUUUUGAAAAGAUAUAAGAUUGAACCAUGUGAAACUGUCAUUUUUGUAGGUUGAAAUGAGGUAAUAUCAGCAGUGCUGUAGGUUUAACCUAAUCACAAAACCAUUAACACACCUAAAAAUUAAUGAAAUCUCCUUGAAUGUAGCGAAAAUUCAAUUAUUGUCCACAUUUCACCAGUGGCCUCAUGUUUUUUCUACAAUUGGUUUAAAUUGGGAUACAACGUCCACACACUGUAUUUAGCUGAUGUUUAUAUGGUUAUUUCUCAGUUUGGUGAUGCUAAGAUUGGCCAAGACAAUCCAACCAUCCACUAUAAAGUGCCUCAGCAUUGAUAAUCAUUGCCUGCAUCAAUUUUUUCAUUAGGAUUUUUAGCAUGUUCGAUGAAUUUUAAUUCAUUGCACUUAUUGUUUUUGUGUAUGUUCUUAAAAUGUCCCUUCUUUGCCUAGUGGGAACACCUCAGUUUGAUUCCUUUUUAUACAACUCCAGCAGUCUGUGAUAGACCUUGCUUUCUGGUAUGAUAAUUUUUUCCUAGGCUUAUCUUGUAUUUUUCCCUGUACUAGACUUGGAAUUAGCCAGUUCUCUAAGGAGUUCUGGUUCCCCUAAUUGAAAUGCGAUAUUUAGAGACCAUGGCCUGAGUACCUGGAGUGCUUAUUGCUGUUGGGUUGGUUGUUGCUUGUAGACCUUUUCGGUGGACAGAGCUAGCAGUUUUUUAUAUUCUUUUUUUAAGAAACAAUGUAUUUGUAUUGACAUUUUCAAUUCAAAUUUUUAUUGUAGUGCUUUUCUUUAUUUUUUAUUUUAUAUUUGUUCUGUUUUUGAUGCUGAAAAUCGUGGUUCCUAACAACAUUAUAAUUGCUUACUUGUUUUUUUAUAUAUCUAACAAUAUGUUACUGAAAAUAUUUUCAGAUUUUUGUGGGGGUUUUUGUCAUUAGGGCAUAUCACAAUAGAAAUGUACAGUUAGACUGCUAUAUUUUAAAGUCACUUGAACUAAUUUCUUACUCUAUGGUUAAGCUGUCAACUUGCUAUAUAGGUAGGUUCAUUUGUGAGGGUUUUUUGUUUUUGUUUUGGUUUUGGUUUUGGUUUGCUUUUUAGGGCUGAACCCGAGGCAUAUGGAAGUUCCCAGGCUAGGGGUCAAAUCUGAGCUACAGCUGCUGGCCCACAGCACAGCCACAGCAACACAGGAUCUGAGCCGAGUCUGCAUUCUACAUUACAGCUCAUGGCAACACCUGAUCCUUAACCCACUGAGUGAGGCCGGGGAUGGAACCCACAACCUCAUGGUUCCUAGUUGGAUUCAUUUCCACUGAGCCACAUUGGGAACUCCCCUCAUAGUUUAUUGAACCAGUUUCCUAUUCAUGGCCAUUUGGGUUGUUUCUAGACUUUUGCUGUACACAUAGUCUUGUCCAUGUGUUUUGUCACUUUUGCCAGUGUCUCUUUAGAUUCUUUUUUGAGGUGGGGGUUGGGGGAGAUAGUCUUUAAAGUGGGAUGAGUAGGCUGAAGGCUGAGUGCAAACAGGUAUUGCCAAAUUCCCUUCCACAGGGCUUGUAUCAUUUUGCAUUUCCACCAGCAGUGUUUGAGAGUGCCUGUUGUCCCAUAGCCUUGCCAAGAGAGUAUAUUGUCCAACAUAGGGGGGGUUAUCACUUUAAUGGGUAAGAAAUCGUCACCUAGUUGUAAUAGGCAUCUCUGUGAGUGAGAUUGCUAUCUUUUCAUAAGAUUAUGGGCACAUUGCCUUUUUCCCAGGUGUAUGCAGUCUGUGUACGCCUCUAGGCAUAUUCUUUUGAUCAUAUCUGGUAGUUACAAAUCUUCAUCUACGAGGAUGACUGAGAUAUUUUGAAGAGCAGAAAGUCCCUAAAAGUUACUUGGUGAAUGAAAUUGUCGGGUUUUUGCUGUCAAGUGGAGCAGCUGGGGCUGACUGGGCCUCUUUCCCGGAGCACAGUCCCAGGGCUCACCCAUAUGGUCUUUCUGCAUGGGCUCGCUUGGGCUCCCUCACAACACGGUGGCCUUGGGGCGGCCAGACUGUUUACCUGACUAUUCAAGCUCCAGCACAUGUCCCAGCUAAAAAGGCAGAAGCUCUGUUGCCUCUCCUGACCCAGCCUUGGAAGCCAUGUGGUGUCUUUUCUUUUGCAUUUUAUUGCUUACAAGUGAGUCAUAAGCCCACCCAGACUCAAAGGGAGGGAAAUAGACCUCACCCCCUGAUGAAGGAAUGGCAGGGUUCUAGAAGAGCAUGGCAGUUUUAACAACUGCCAAGGGUCUGAGAUUUUACCUGCCAAGUUCGCCUGUGACAGUGUCUUGGGUGCUGGUGAGACAUAAGACGCCUGGGUCAGAAGCAAAGGACUUGAUCCCUGUGGUGCAGCAAGUCUCAUGAGAAUUAGCAUUUGCGUCAGUUCUCCUUUUCCCCAAGUCUCACAGGGGUGAUUCAGAUGGGUCCAGAUGGAUUCCUGCACACCCAGUAGAUUGCACUAUGGGAGAUUUCUGUGCCUAUGAAUCUACCAAAGCUCUUCUCGCAAAGAGUGAUGUUUUAUUUUUUGUCUUUUUAGGGCCACAUCCGAGGUCCCCAGGCUAGGCAUCUAAUCAGAGCUAUAGCCUCUGGCCUAUGCCACAGCCACAGCAAUAUCAGAUCUGAGCCAUGUCUGCCACCUACACCACAGCUCAUGACAACACCAGAUCCUUAACCCACUGAGCGAGGCCAGGGAUCAAACCUGCAACCUCAUGGUUCCUAUCGGAUUUGUUAACCACUGAGCCACGACGGGAACUCUGCCCAGCCCUCCUUGAUGCUGACCUCUGAACAGCCUCCAACUGACCUUCCUGCCUGUGGGGCAUCUUCGAGGCGAGGCAGGCAUCCUGCCCUCUCUCAUUGCCCCGUGCUUGUCUCUUCCUAAAUCACAAGCUCCAUUGAUUUUUUUUUUUUUAAUUUCUUAUCUAGGAAACAACCUUCUCUCCCUCCCUUUCUUCCUUUCCACCAAUAUUCUUCAGCACCCACUGUGGGCGGUAGGGGGCACUGUUUGAGAUAUCAUAGCAGCAAGUGGCAGACAAAGCUCUGCUCUUGGAGCUUACAUUCAGCUUGGGGGUAAUGGUGAUGGGCAGAGACGUAAAUAACCAAGUUAAUUUCGGGUGUUUGUAAGCACUGUGAAAAAACCUAAGGUGAUGAAAUAGAUGGAGAUGGGCAUGGGGUGAGGGCUAACAGAUUGGGUGGUCAGGGAAGCCUCUUUGAGGAAGUGGUAUGUGAGGUAAUCUGUGAGUGAAAAGCAGGGCUGCCUUUGUGAACUCUGGGGACAGAGUGCUCCUGGACAGCCACCAGCAAGUGCAAAGGCCCUGGGGCUGGAAUGAGCUUGAUGUGAUGGAGGCACAGGGUGUGCGAGAGUGUUUGGAGGGAACUGAGAGAGGGUAUGUGGUAGGAGAGGGCAGGGGAUGGACUAUGUAGCACCUUGUGGAUGCUGGGCAGGAGUUGGGGCUCUGUUCCAGGGGCAGUGGAAGCAGGGCUGCGGUUGACCCCACGGAGGCUCUAAGGCUCUUGUUUACUUCUGACCUUUCCUCUCUUCAGUCAUUCCUCACUCUCCUGCCAGAGUCUUUCUGGAGUAUGGAUGUGAUCCUGUCACUUGGGCCCCAAAAUGUUUCAUGAUCCCUGUUUAUACUGGACAAAUGAUGAGAAUUUCAGCCUGGUCUUCCAGGCCCUUGGCCCUCGGGCUUGAACCUUCUCUCUCUCCCAACUCCACACUUUUGAGUCCUCACGGUUACCUAACCCUGUGCCUUCCUUUUUUCUCUAUGUCUUUAGUCUUAUUUGCUCAGAUGGAACAUUUUACCUUCACGUUUAUUUACUGCACAAAUCGAAUCCAAGCCCAAAACAAAGCCACAGCCUCUGUCAGACUGCCCUAGGUUCUCCCCAGGUGGAACCAAUGUCUGUUUCCCUCUUUCCUUAUUCUACUUUUUUUUUUUUUUCUCUUCUAAUUAUUAUUUCCACUGCCAUCAAGUCAGCUUUGGGUGCCUGUGCAUAGGUCUGGCCCUUUGCAGGAAUGAGGGCUUCCUGAGGGUAGAAAUUGUGUCCUGCUCCUUGUUUCUUGUGGAGCCUUGCAAGAAAUAGGAGCUCCAUUAAUCUUUUUUGAGACUGACAACGUAGGCACACACCUGCUUUGUUAUUCUGUCUUGCAUUUGAAGCAGGCGACGGUCUGUUGCUUGGCUAUAACGCAGUGGUUGCACAGUUGCAGAACUACGUGUUCCAAUGGCCAUGUGACUGCUUCGCUGCAUGACGGCAUAGCUAUGUGACCGCAUGGUUGUGCAGCUGUUUAGCUGCAUGGGUAUACGAAAGCAUAGCUAUCCAGCCAUGGUUUGCAUGGCUGCAUGGCUACUUUACCACGUGGCUGUGUGGCUGCAUGGCCAUGUGGUCCCAUUGCUUUGGCAAAAACACUUCCCCUUGGUUUUCUGUGAGUUACGUCAAGAUUUCUGCAAACAUUCUUAGGUUGGUUGUGUUUCCCUUGGGAGAGCCAUUGGCAUUUUGAGUGGGGCUGCUGCAUGCCUUCACAAAUAUUAAGCAUCCCUUGACCCUGUCCCCAAAUUACAGUGUCGCUCAUCAUUGAGACAACCAAAAAUGUCCCUAUGCCUUUAUAUACUCCCCCUUUCCCCACCUGCUAAGAUCCCUAGAUCAUGAGCACAGGACUAUAAGGCAAAGGAAAGUUACAGAGGAGUUGUGCUUAUCAGGAAUUGCCGUCAUGGCGCAGCAGGAAGGAACCUGACUAGUAUCCAUGAAGAUGUGGGUUCGAUCCCUGGCCCCACUCAAUGGGUUAAGGAUUCUGCACUGCCAUGAGCUGUGGUGUAGGUCACAGACAUGGCUCAGAUCUGGCCUUGCUGUGGCUGUGGUGUAGGCCAGCAGCUGUAGCUUGGACUUGACCCCUAGCCUGGGAACUUCUGUUAGCUGCCAGUAUGGCCCUAAAAAGCAAAAACAAACAA